rnacentral:rRNA from 1 species
UACGUAGGGUGCAAGCGUUGUCCGGAAUUAUUGGGCGUAAAGGGCUCGUAGGCGGUCCGUCACGUCGGGAGUGAAAUCCUGGGGCUUAACCCCAGAACUGCUUCCGAUACGGGCAGACUAGAGGUAGGUAGGGGAGAAUGGAAUUCCUGGUGUAGCGGUGGAAUGCGCAGAUAUCAGGAGGAACACCAGUGGCGAAGGCGGUUCUCUGGGCCUUACCUGACGCUGAGGAGCGAAAGCCAGGGGAGCGAACGGG